UCUCCUCCUUCCUCCUCCAGCCCCAGCCGCCAGCCCCCAUCCACGAAAAUCACAAACCCUCAUCGCAGCACGCAAAAACAUGGAUGCAGGAAGAGAUCAGAGGGCACAAAGCACUCACCAGGCUGUUCUUGAUGCUUAUGGAGCUUCUCUGUUUGGUUCUCAGGUUAGUGCCUACAAAAAAAGCAAAUGAAAUUUUAAUGAACAUCUGAAUCUUGCUUGUACUAUUCUGGUUAUUUGGUUACAGAAAUUUGAUGUCUGAUCUUUUCUACUAUUAUGUGGAAAACAUAGAAACACAGGGGGGGGCAAGAUACCCAGCAGCAACAGUGGCUGACUUCUGGUGCUUGGAACCAAGGGCUGCAUCAUACACACCCCUGGAUGCAAAAUCAGAUGCUUCCUCAUGCUUCUAUGAACAGAACACAAGGGAAUGCCCUGAACAUUCCAGUGAGUGCAGCUAUGUAUGGUAUCUUCAAUAGUCAAGGCAAUACACAGGUAAACUUGCCUGUGAACCUGGGUCCACAUACUUCAGUGGGUGACUCCAACCUAGUGUGUACUGCGCUCCAACCCCUUGUAAGUGUUUACAGUUUACAGAAAAUGGAAGAAAAAAAGAAAAAUUCCACUACGAUUGUUUUACAAGAAAUUGGCAAAAAUAAUGAUGCAGGCAAACAAAGUCGCUUAUGAAGCCCCCAUGUCAUACACGCAACUCCUACUUGCUGCUGAAGAAGAGGUUCUCUACUAACAUACUCAUGUUUGCUUGUCGUGGAUAAAAACUGUAUUAACUUACAAAAAUAAACCCAAAAA